rnacentral:rRNA from 1 species
AUUGAACGCUGGCGGCAGGCUUAACACAUGCAAGUCGAACGGUAACAUAAAGAAGCUUGCUUCUUUGAUGACGAGUGGCGGACGGGUGAGUAAUGCUUGGGAAUCUAGCUUAUGGAGGGGGAUAACUACGGGAAACUGUAGCUAAUACCGCGUAGAAUCGAGAGAUGAAAGUGUGGGACCUUCGGGCCACAUGCCAUAGGAUGAGCCCAAGUGGGAUUAGGUAGUUGGUGAGGUAAAGGCUCACCAAGCCGACGAUCUCUAGCUGGUCUGAGAGGAUGACCAGCCACACUGGGACUGAGACACGGCCCAGACUCCUACGGGAGGCAGCAGUGGGGAAUAUUGCGCAAUGGGGGCAACCCUGACGCAGCCAUGCCGCGUGAAUGAAGAAGGCCUUCGGGUUGUAAAGUUCUUUCGGUAGCGAGGAAGGCAUUUAGUUUAAUAGACUAAGUGAUUGACGUAACUACA